UACGGGGGGAGCAAGCGUUGUUCGGAAUUACUGGGCGUAAAGCGUGCGUAGGCGGUUCGUUAAGUCUGUUGUGAAAGCCCCGGGCUCAACCUGGGAAUGGCAAUGGAUACUGGCGAGCUAGAGUGUGUCAGAGGAUGGUGGAAUUCCCGGUGUAGCGGUGAAAUGCGUAGAGAUCGGGAGGAACAUCAGUGGCGAAGGCGGCCAUCUGGGACAACACUGACGCUGAGGCACUGAAAGCGUGGGGAGCAAACAGG
rnacentral:rRNA from 1 species